rnacentral:ribozyme from 1 species
UGCCCAGCAACUCCUAUCCCUACCACCUCGUGGUACUGGCAAGGUACGAGUAACCUUGGGGAUGAUCGGGUAACCAACCCCCGGUGGGAACUUUGGUCGUAUGCUGACAGGGAAGG